rnacentral:lncRNA from 1 species
UUUUUUUAGAAAAAAAAGAAAGAGAGAACAUAGGUUAGAGAGAGAGAGCAUAAUUAAAAAAAUAAGAAGAGAAAUAGAGUUGAGAUUAGAAAGAGUGAGAGAGUUGAGAUUUUAGAAAAAGAGAGAGAGAGAGAGAGAGCUUAGUUUAGAGAGAGAAAAAGAGUUGAAGUUUAGAGAGAAAAAAAUAAGUUUAGAGAGAGAUAUGAGGUUAGAGUGUAAAGAAAUAUAAUACCAACUAACCGACGGGUAGGAAGAAAGAAAGAGAUUAGACAUAUUAUGAUUACCCAAUCCAUUAAUAUGAGGAUACCCACCCUCCCUUAAGGGGAUGAGAUUAGCACUUUGGAUGAAUUUCAUUCCCAAGUAAAUCUAAUAUUACCAACUAGAUUACUUAGUGCGUUUAGCCAAACACCGUCAUAUUUUUUUAUUCCUAUCGAAUUACUAGAAAUCUUAAAAAGAUAGCGCAAACCAAACGCGCCAUAUAUAUAUAUAUAUAUAUAUAUAUAUAUAUAUAUAUAUAGAGUUGAGCUAAAAUACUCUCGAUAGUAAACGAAGCAUUUUACUAUCGAGUUGUUUUCGAUGAUAGAGCUUCCAAAUUGACGAUUGGCUCCGUUAAAU